rnacentral:rRNA from 1 species
UACGUAGGGUGCAAGCGUUGUCCGGAAUUAUUGGGCGUAAAGAGCUCGUAGGCGGUUUGUUGCGUCGGCUGUGAAAUCCCGAGGCUCAACCUCGGGUCUGCAGUCGAUACGAGCAAACUAGAGUGUUGCAGGGGAGACUGGAAUUCCUGGUGUAGCGGUGAAAUGCGCAGAUAUCAGGAGGAACACCGGUGGCGAAGGCGGUGGUCUGGGCCGGCACUGACGCUGGAGGAGCGAAAGCGUGGGUAGCAAACAGG